AAAUUCAAAAACCUCAUAUUCCAUUGCUGUAUUCAUCUCCUUUCAAUUUCCGCACACUAUAAACAUAGUGCCAUAUUUCAUUCAAUAGAGAAUAUACUUCUAUUUUGUUUCAGUCAAUCAAAUUAUUUAUUUAUUUAUAAAUCUUUAUAAAUAAAUCACACGGAGGGAAGCAAUGGUAGCAGAGCUCCUGGGAGUGGAGCAAGCAGUGAGCGCGAGAUCCAAGGCGCAAGGCAACGCUGCUGACAUCGCAAUUCACGCCGUUGUCAUAUUCAAGGCGAAAGCGGCUCUUGUUAUUUCAAUGUGAAUAGUUACUUUGAAAAGCGCCACAUGGAGCUGCUCUCCCCAGCUGAAAUCAAUGCUCAGAACCCAAGUCACCAAACAUCCUAUCAACAGAAACCACACUCUGUGCCUUCACGGUGUCUUUACAAGCAAGUCUUACGUUGCAGCCGUGCUUUGGAUCGUUUUCAACACCUGGCAUCACGAAAAACUGCUUCGUUCCAGUUCUGCGUCCACUUUUUGCUGGAUUUUAAUUCUGGAUUCUUUGUAUUUAGUAAUAUGAAUUGGGCUUGAUUGACGUUGCUCCACUGAAAAAAGAAGAGACCAAAUUUUGUCGUGACUUUGAGAGUGGAUGACACACUGUCUGGUGCAAAGUAGUUCAAGCAUCUGAACAAGACUGCUGGAAGGGUUUCUUUAACAAGGCAAAGGCCAACCAUGCUCGUGCGUCCUCCACUCGGACUCUCCUGGUAUGGGUGAAAAUGGAUUCAUGUAAAGCAAUCUCUUGAGGAGGAUGCGAUUAUGAAAUGCAGGUGAAGUUCCGCUGCAUUGGUCGAGGGACAGAGAAGACAGUUGAAGACAGAAUCAAGCACCAGGAGUUUGUUCUGCUUCUUAGGAGAAAUAUCGAAAGAUAGAGAAGCAUGGGAAGUGAGGGACGAAACAGACUAUAUACUCUCUACGUUGAGAUUGUAAACAAACAUAGCAAACACAGCGUGACGGGACGAAAAUCAGCGGAGUCACUUCGCCAUAUUAAUUCUCGGCGAGCUCUGCAUCCCAAUGCUGGAACAGCAAGCUUGGAGCCAGAUAGAUGUAACGGCUGGGAGUGGUAGAGAAUGAUCGAAUGGGCCGAAGCCUAUGUCACAACCUUUACAAUCUCUUAUUAAGAGUAAACAAAAACUCUUGUAAAAUGA